rnacentral:tRNA from 1 species
GCCUGGGUGGCUCAGUCGGUUGAGCAUCUGACUUCGGCUCAGGUCAUGAUCUCACAGCUCGUGAGUUCAAGCCCCGCGUCGGGCU